GUGAGGAAUUUUGCGCAAUGGCCGCAAGGCUGACGCAGCAACGCCGCGUGGGUGAAGAAGGCCUUCGGGUCGUAAAGCCCUGUCAGGUGGGAAGAAAGGUUUCGUCAAGAAACGGAUGGAAUUUGACGGUACCACCAGAGGAAGCACCGGCUAACUCCGUGCCAGCAGCCGCGGUAAUACGGAGGGUGCGAGCGUUAUUCGGAAUUAUUGGGCGUAAAGCGCGAGUAGGCGGGGAUGCAAGUCUGAUGUGAAAGCCCUGGGCUUAACCUGGGAAGUGCAUUGGAAACUGCAUGUCUUGAGUACUAGAGAGGAAGGGGGAAUUCCCGGUGUAGAGGUGAAAUUCGUAGAGAUCGGGAGGAAUACCAGUGGCGUAGGCGCCUUUCUGGACGGUUAAUGACGCUGAGACGCGAAAGCGUGGGGAGCAAACAGGAUUAGAAACCCUGGUAGUCC
rnacentral:rRNA from 1 species